rnacentral:rRNA from 1 species
CAGAGGUGCCGAGCGUUAGGCGGAAUCACUGGGCUUAAAGCGUGUGUAGGUGGAUGUCUAAGUACCUUGUGAAAUCCCACGGCUUAACCGUGGAACUGCUCGGUAUACUGGAUGUCUUGAGCCAGCUAGGGGCUACCGGAACAAAUGGUGGAGCGGUGAAAUGCGUAGAUAUCAUUUGGAACGCCAAUGGUGAAAACAGGUAGCUGGGGCUGUGCUGACACUGAGACACGAAAGCCAGGGGAGCGAACGGGAUUAGAUACCCCGGUAGUCCUGGCCGUAAACGAUGUCGACCAGAUCGUAAGUGGCUCUGACGCUAUUACGGUCGAAGCAAAAGUGCUAAGUCGACCGCCUGGGAAGUACGGUCGCAAGGCUA